rnacentral:lncRNA from 1 species
AAAAGGAGAAUGCAGAGUGACUGUUAAUGGGUUGGGUGCUUUCUUUGUGAGGUGAUGCAAAUGGUCUGGAAUUAGUGGUGGUGGUUACAUAGUUUUGUGAAUAUACUAAAAAUUAACUAUAUACUUUUAAAAGGUGAGUUUUAUGGUUUAUGAGUUACAUCUCAAAAGUUAUAAGCUGGGAAAUUAUCAAGGAAAUAUAAAAUAGAAUUUAAGUGAACAAAAGCUAUAAGCAAAAACAAGGGUGAAAUCUUAGAAGAAAAUACUAAAUGAACAAAACAAGAUGCAACUCUCUUGAGUACCCCCACACUCCCUUGAGUGUGCACUUUUUGCUUUGAAAUAAAAUCUCUGUACUUUCACUAUUUUCUGACUCAUCCUUGAAUUCCUUCUCAUGAUGGUGUCAAGAGUCUGGACACCGGCUGGCGCUGAGGUCCCAUCGGCAUUUGGGGACCCCCCCCCUCCAGCCUACCAGUAUCAUCUUUAUGGCCAUCCAGCCCAGAGCAUCAUCAGCCACAUCAGAACCACCAGCAGUUGCCUGACUCCCCUCAGCCGUAGUGCCUCUGCUUCCUCCAGCUGGAAAACGCAGUUCGCCCUGACAGUGACAAAUGGAGGUGGGAAGGCUUUGACCUACACCUGAGCUCUGAGGUGCCAUGGGCCUCCUGGGCAAG